rnacentral:tRNA from 3 species
GGGAUAUUAGCUCAGUUGGUAGAGCACUUGACUUUUAAUCAAGUUGUCCGGGGUUCGAAUCCCCGAUGUCUCACUA